AUAUAUAUAUUGACGGAUAUGAUUAUAGUGAUAGUAGUCGAUAUAUUAAGUUCUCGGGCUACGCGCUAGUGAUGUACUCGGUAGAUUAAUUUCUCGGGCUUCACAGCUAGUGGAUUAAGUGAAAUCGGUGAUGUACUCGGUAGUUUAAAUUCUCGAGUAUCACGGCGCCUUGGUUAUCAAUUGAUUUGUGGAUUAAGGGAUCGAUUGGUGAUGCAUCCUGGUAGAUAAAUUUCUCGGGAGUCACAAUCAUUUGGAUUUCAGAUAUUGUGGAUAUUUGAAGUUUAGCGCUACAGUUGGCUCCGUAACAAUGAUAUUAAAUAUUUUUCCAAAUAUUUUAUCGUUUUACUUAAUAUAUAAAUAUAUUUGUAUUAACUCACUCAAAUUUUUAUCUGACCUGUGGAUUUUAACAUUUUCAGGUGUUUUUAUCUUGGCGUGGUACUUCCGACGUUUCAAAUUUUCGUAAUGUUUUAAGCUUUUAAACUCUACAGGCGCAGUAGUAUGUAGUUGUCUGUUGAUCAGUUUAGUUUUCCUCAAGUUUAUGUUUGAUUAUGUUUGAUUAGUUUGGCAUAUGUUUUAUCAUUUAUGUCACGCUAGAUAAGAGUUGAGUCUCGAUUGUCGUCGAGCAUCGUGGAUUGUAUAAUGAUUUAUGUAUGUUUUAUUGUUUUCUAAGGUUUACACCGGGUUCAUAAAACUGAUUAGGUGUUUCAUUUGGUUAACUCUUUUAUUUCUUUUAAUACUUCUAUUAUAGUAGUUCAUCCUACUACUUUAGGAGUGGCAGUUGUUUGAUUUAGAGAAAUGAAUCCAUUUUUGCUGAUAAGUGAGCUUCUGCGGUUCAGACGUUGACCAAAACUGAGAGACAGGUUAGUCAAAUUAUGGAAGCUUGAUGUUUGAGUUCUGUGAAUUGUGUGCAGGGUAGCAAGAAUCAGAAACAUAUCAGCUGGCGUUCUCCCGAUUUGAAUUGGUUUAAGAUAAAUACGGAAGGAGCGUUUAAUCUGUCUUUGAAAACGACUAUAGCUGGGGGUCGGGGUCUUGCAAGGGACAACUACGGUAGAUAGUUUCAAUGCUAAUCUGGGCAUGGGGACUGUCCUUGGUGCCGAACUUAGAGGAGUGUUACAUGGAUUAGAGUUGGGAUGGGACUUAGUUGCUACUUGCAACAACUCUUUUGUGGCAAUGCUGUACGAAGAAUUCUGUAUCAAAACAAAGAGCUUCGAAAACUGCAUUAUUAUUAAUAUUGCAUAAAGAAGAAUGCUCAUAGCAAAAUUGGUCGACCGGUAGCAGUACACCAACACUAACUGGUUUCAAGAUUCUACUAUCAGCAAAAUAGGUACAGAAAUCCUGCCCGCCAUGAAUGUGAAAACUACAGUGACGAUAUAAAAGAAUCUAGGAAGAAUGAUGAUACAGAAUUGGCAGGUUUAUUUCCUCCCAGCCUUGCCCUUUUUCACCGGAACGAGUGUUACUUUUUUGCCUGAAUCAAUAGUUCUCGUCUCAGCUUGUCUUAGCAAUGAUAUUGUGGCUUGAUGCAGAUUUUCGUUUGCUUGCUCGCCUGUAAAUGGUUUCACCUCAAAUGCUCCCCUGGUGAAGCCUCUAGCAACCUGAGGAUCAAAUCUUUACCGAUCAAUGUUUAGCCAGAUUACAAGAUAAUUAAACAGAAUAUUGCAAGCAAAAUUUAUUUGUAACUUUCCAUGUUAUCGACAAGCUUUUAUGCUGCACAAAAACUUGUUGAGUUCUACAUUUUGGAGUUU